rnacentral:tRNA from 2 species
GGUUAGAGCAUCGCAUUUGUAAUGCGAGGGUCAUCGGUUCAAAUCCGAUAGUCGGCU